AACGCCACCGCCAGUAAAGCUUUCAUCCUCUUCUUGCUCCACUUAUUUUCAUCUCCGCCGGUGGAAACUUCCUUCGCUGGUUUCGCCGGUUUAAUUUCUUCAGUUUUACAAAGACUUUUGCCGGUAAAUCUCCAUCUCUGCCGGUUGCCCUGCUUCGCCUUAACCGUGCUGUCCAACGAAUCGUUCCUAGUCAUUGUUUCUUCAGCCGAUCAGACGUUCGAACCAGUGGAUAAAGUUGAGACAAUGACGAGAAAUAUUUCACUUUAAAACAGCUAACUUCAAGGUGGGAUGUGGUUCGAGGACAAUCAAGAUGGAAGUCAGUGGACAUGUAAUGCUCGAGUAAAUGAGAG